AAUCAACGCUGGCGGCGUGCCUCAGACAUGCAAGUCGAACGAGAAAGUCCCCUUCGGGGGAUAAGUAAAGUGGCGCACGGGUGAGUAACACGUAGGUAAUCUACCUUCGGGUGGGGAAUAACCCAGGGAAACUUGGGCUAACACCGCAUAAUGCAGCGGCACCACAUGGUGACAGUUGUUAAAGCGGGGGAUUUUCGGACCUCGCGCCUGAAGAGGAGCCUGCGGCGGAUUAGCUAGUUGGUGAGGUAACGGCUCACCAAGGUAACGAUCUGUAGCCGGCCUGAGAGGGCGGUCGGCCACACUGGCACUGACAUACGGGUCAGACUCCUACGGGAGGCAGCAGUCGGGAAUUUUUGGGCAAUGGGCGAAAGCCUGACCCAGCAACGCCGCGUGAAGGAU
rnacentral:rRNA from 1 species